UUCACUCUACAUGGAGACCAGUACAGCACAGAGAUCCAACCAUGGCACCUACAAUCACUUCAGCUGUGAUCUACUCUAAUGAGCACCUGACUCUGAUCAACAAGAAAGCCAGUGGUGGAAAAGUUAAGCAGAGAUCGUUUCAACAACAGCAUAGAGCAGAUCAAGUCUCUCCUGGGUCCAGAGAUCCUCAACCAGCAGCCAGACUCCAAGCUGGAGAAAGCCGACAUCUUGGAGAUGACAGUUUGCUUCCUGAGACGACAGCAACAGAACCAGCCAGUGAGCUCCUCCUCUUGCUCAGCAGCUGUCAAUCAGGGUUAUUCCAGGUGUGUCCAAUAGAUUGUGCACUUCCUGUCCAAGGAUGAGGUGAAGACACAGACCCAGGGAAGACUGCUGAGCCACUUCCAGAGCCUGCAUCCAUCCUCUGAUAAGAACAGGAGGGAGAGUGACCUGCCUCAGUUCAGCUCCCAAGCCCAGUUCAGAAUCAGCAAAGAGAAGAGUCCAGUCAACAUCGCCCUCUGGAGGCCCUGGUAGAGUCCUACAGACUAAAGCUCAACUCAGAAAAAGUCAAUGGACCAUGUUGGUCUAACAUUAAUGUGAUGGACAGUGAUCAGAGAUCUUCUUCAUAUUAUGCGUGUGCAGGUUGUUUUAAAAGUUGUGUCUCGAUUUAAACUUUUAAUUUCAGUUGUACUGAACAAGUUAAAAGUUUUGGCUAUGGAAACAAUGAAGUCUACAAACACUGCAUUUUUGUAAUGUUAAUAACCUUUAUGUUUUGUGAAGCAUAUGUUGAUCAGUUGUCCACUCGUGAUAAACAUCAACUUCAAUGGUCAUCCAUGAGGACCUUUAACCCGAAAUGGGUAUUUAAUCAUAUUUUUGUGAUGGUCUAUUACCGAUCUGUUUAAAGGUCAACACGUAUUCAAGAAUAAGCUAUUUUGUUACCUUAAUUUUUAAAGAGCAGACUUUAUGUGUGAAAAUGUUGCUCACAUUAUUAUUAUGAUAUUGAUGUAUAUACUUCCUAUGAUUGAAAACGUUUAUCUCUUAUAAAACCUCUAUUUUAAACUUGCGUAUUUUAUAAAGACAGUAACUGUGUAUCCUAUACUAUGUUAGAGUAUCAUAAGUCUUAUGAUCAUAUGCUACUUAGAUUCAUAUGUCUUAGAUUUAUUCAAGUUCUGGUUGAGAUGUUUAAUCACUUUAUUUCUAUUGAAAUAUUUACCUUAAAUGAAGGUAUUCGAUGAUGUAAUUCAGUGAGUCAGUCUGA